rnacentral:rRNA from 1 species
AUUGAACGCUGGCGGCAGGCCUAACACAUGCAAGUCGAGCGAGCGGCGGACUGGUGAGUAAUGUCUGGGAAACUGCCUGAUGGAGGGGGAUAACUACUGGAAACGGUAGCUAAUACCGCAUACCAUCAGAUGUGCCCCGAUGUGAUUAGCUAGUAGGUGGGGUAAUGGCUCACCUAGGCGACGAUCCCUAGCUGGUCUGAGAGGAUGACCAGCCAGACUGGAACUGAGACCCGGUCCAGACGCCGACGGGAGGCAGAAGUGGGGAAUAUUGCACAAGGGGCGCAAGCCUGAUGCAGCAAGGCCGCGGGUGUGAAGAAGGCCUUCGGGUUGUAAAGCACUUUCAGCGGGGAGGCGUUACCCGCAGAAGAAGCACCGGCUAACUCCGUGCCAGCCGCCGCGGUAAUUC